rnacentral:rRNA from 1 species
UACGUAGGGUGCGAGCGUUGUCCGGAAUUACUGGGCGUAAAGAGCUCGUAGGUGGUUUGUCGCGUUGUUCGUGAAAACUCACAGCUUAACUGUGGGCGUGCGGGCGAUACGGGCAGACUGGAGUACUGCAGGGGAGACUGGAAUUCCUGGUGUAGCGGUGGAAUGCGCAGAUAUCAGGAGGAACACCGGUGGCGAAGGCGGGUCUCUGGGCAGUAACUGACGCUGAGGAGCGAAAGUGUGGGGAGCGAACAGG